ACAAAAGCUUGAAUUAUUUGGAAGAUGGGGUGUCACUUCAGCUAGAAGAUAUCUGAAUUAUUUUGAAGAGUGGACCCUUUUUACUGUUCAAAGUAAUUCAUUGGAGAUAGACUUUUCUUUGAUGGAAAGAAAAUAAAUUUCACAAAUUGAAUUGUUUAGAAAUUAUCUUUUUGGAAUUAGACUUUGUUGUGAUUUAACUUAAAGAUGAAAUGAAGUAUAGUUCAAAUUAAAGCCAAAACAGUCAUCUUCUUUUUUAUUAGGGCCUAAGACUUCAUUGUCGUCACCGGAACUUGAAUUGCUACCUUUGAAGAAAUACUGCCAAUAAUCUUUGUCAUAUCUUGCAGAUUUGAAUAUAGAGCCAAGGUUGCUAUUAUUUGUUAUUUUUUAAAGAAAAUUGAAAAUUUUCUCAUGUUGCCUUGGGAAAAUGACAACAAUGCCCCAGACAUAAAUACCAACAUCCACCCUAAUUGGAGGCAAUUUCGUAAAUUCCAAACUGUGGUGGAAUGGCAUGAAAAUAAUUGGUCAAUCGUGUGACAUAAAAGUAGGAAAAAAAGCUUUCAUAUACGUCAUUCUACGAAGUUCCUUUACCAAUACAGAGAAAUUUAUACAAGUUGAUAAUUAAGCCCUUAUUUGACAAUUAAUCUUUCUCAUUUUCUUUUUUCCUCGUACUCAUUUUUAACUACAAUUCUCACAAAAAAAUAUUUUUCAUUUAAGCUCCAAAUUUUUUCUUAUUUUUUAAAUACAUAUUUUAUCGAAAUUUAUUAUUAAAAAAUUCGUUCUUUCCCAAAAAAAAUAAAAAU
rnacentral:lncRNA from 1 species